rnacentral:rRNA from 1 species
AGAGUUUGAUCCUGGCUCAGGACGAACGCUGGCGGCGCGCCUAACACAUGCAAGUCGAACGAGCGAGAGAGAGCUUGCUUUCUUGAGCGAGUGGCGAACGGGUGAGUAACGCGUGAGGAACCUGCCUCAAANAGGGGGACAACAGUUGGAAACGACUGCUAAUACCGCAUAAGCCCACGACCCGGCAUCGGGUAGAGGGAAAAGGAGCAAUCCGCUUUGAGAUGGCCUCGCGUCCGAUUAGCUAGUUGGUGAGGUAACGGCCCACCAAGGCGACGAUCGGUAGCCGGACUGAGAGGUUGAACGGCCACAUUGGGACUGAGACACGGCCCAGACUCCUACGGGAGGCAGCA